GCCCAGCUGGCUUAGUUGGUGGAGCAUGAGAUUCUUGAUCUCAGGGUUGUGAAUUGGAGCCCCACUUUGGGUG
rnacentral:tRNA from 1 species